CAAGUGAAAAAUCUUGGUCAAGCAAACAUAAGACUACUGGAAAAAAUAAAGAAGGAAUGAGUUGAUUGAUGUGAAAAAAGUUAGGUGUCAAAAGCCCUCUAGAGAAGAGGUGCAGGUGGAGAAGGAUCACUUUUGUCAAUGCCUGUCCAAAUAACAGCCUUACAACCUUCUCCCAGGAAAUGGAAGAAGGUGGUUCCUGGCUGUAUCUGCCAAACUUCAAUAUAUGUAGACAACAUGCAGCAUUACAUAAUUUGCAACAUUAAAGAAGAAAUAUAGAGGUGAAGAUAUUGUGCAAGAUGUCAGAAUGAAAAAGAAGUUUGAAGCUUUAUAUCCUUUCAAAGUGGGAAGACAAAAGAACAAGCAAUAAAACUGAGAGUUCAGAAA